rnacentral:snRNA from 1 species
GUGUUCACUUUGGCAGCACAUGCACAAAAAUUGGAAUAAUACAGAGAAGAUUAGUAAGGUGUGUGUGCAAGGAUGACAUACAAAUUUGUGAGGUGUUCUACAUAAAA